CUUCUGUAAUUAUUUUAAGUAAAACUCAGAUAUUUUCAAAUGCAUUAACUUGUUAACAACCAAACAUGAAUUAGUGGGGCAAUUUGGGUGAGAAUAGCAUUAUUAAACCGGUUACGAGCCUUUUUCCCCUCAGAACCCCUUCCCCACCCUAAAGUCAGUGAAAGCAUUCCAAUAAAGUCACAUUUAAGCACGUAUGGUGGAUUUACAUGUUAUUGAUUGAAUAUCAUAUCUAUUUUUUGUUUUUAUUAAAACAUUUCUGUUAGAACUGUGCCAUUUGGAAUGUUGGAGGUGUCCGUGGAGCCUUUUUCUGGCAUUUAACGUAACGUUACCGUCAAAACAGUGGAAACUGUUAGCUGUUAGAUCUGUGCCAUUUGGGACGUCGGAUGAGCCUUUUUCUGGUCGUUACCGUCAAAACUGGUACCUAAGACUGUAAAGAAGAUAUUUUGAAGAAAGUUGGUAACCAAACAGCAUUGGACCCCACUCACUUCUAUUGUAUAGACACAAAACUAUUUGCAAGUGAAAGGCGUCCAGUUAACAGCAUUUUUCAAAAUAUCU